rnacentral:rRNA from 1 species
GAUGAACGCUGGCGGCGGGCCUAAUACAUGCAAGUCGAGCGAACGGACGAGGAGCUUGCUUCUCUGAGGUUAGCGGCGGACGGGUGAGGAACGCGUGGAUAACGUACCUAUAAGACUGGGAUAACUUCGGGAAAGCGGAGCUAAUACCGGAUAAUAUUUUGAACCGCAUGGUUCAAAAGUGAAAGAUGGUCUUGCUGUCACUGAUAGACGGAACCGCGCUGCAUUAGAUAGUUGGGACGGUAACGGCUUACCAAGGCAACGAUGCAUAGCCCACCUGAGAGGGUGAUCGGCCACACUGGAUCUGAGACACGGUCCCGACUCCUACGGGAGGCAGCAGUCGGGAAUCCUACGCAAUGGGCCAAAGCCUGACGUUGCAACGCCGCGUGAGUGCUGAACGUCUCCGGCUCGUAAAACUCUGUUAUUAGGGAAGAUCAUAUGUGUAAGUAACUGUGACCAUCUUGACGGUACCUAAUCAGAAAGCCACGGCUAACUACGUG